GCCGGGGAAAACAGCGCGUGCCUCGGUCUACGGGCAGCUUUCACUUCAAGCUGCAAUCUACCCAGCGCGGCAGUUUAUAGUCCUAGGGAACAUAACGCUCCCUUAGGUACUUGUAAUUCGUAUCCGCGCUAGAGAAAGCGUUCUGACUCGUUCUGCAUUUGUUGCAAGAAAACCUAAUUAUGACCAUCCAAACUGGUUUGGCGUUGGCUUGGCUUUUAGCACCACUGCUGCCCUGUGGGUUCUACUUUUCAAGCAGCAUAAUGAAGAUGUAAUGGAAUAUGAAAGAAGACAAAAGGAGAGACAACAGAAAUGUACAGGAUGUUCAUAGUUGAACAUACACUGUAAGAAGUAACAGGAUCAGUUGUUUUACAAAUAAACAAGCAUAACACAAGUAUGAAGUAUCUGAAUAUUUAUCUGUUCAUACAUUUCAUACAAUUGUGAAAUAAAUGGUAAAAACUCUGGAAGGAACUUGUGAGACUAUUUGCUUGCCCUGUUUAUUUCAAUCUUCAAGUCUUCAUAAGGUGUUUUCAUAUGGCAUUCAAUUGUUUUAUAGUUAGUUUUUCCAAAAUUACUUUCGAAACUCUUUGUUAUUCUGGAGGGUAUGUUACAGAAUGCAGUUAAGUUAGACACGAGUUCAGAAGACGUUCACAAAUAUUGUAGAAGUCCUUAAGUGUACCCUCUCCCGUCCAUAAUUUUUAGUUGCU